rnacentral:rRNA from 1 species
AGGGUAAACGCUGGCGGCGUGCAUGAGACAUGCAAGUCAAACGGACGAUCGGGGUUCGCUCUGAUCGUUAGUGGCGGACGGCUGAGUAACGCGUAGGUGACCUGCCCCGAAGUGGGGAAUAACUGCCCGAAAGGGUGGCUAAUACCGCAUGUGGUGGUGCGUUCGAUCGCACCAGUAAAGCCGCAAGGCGCUUCGGGAGGGGCCCGCGUCCGAUUAGCUCGUUGGUGAGGUAACGGCUCACCAAGGCGACGAUCGGUAGGUGGUCUGAGAGGACGAUCACCCAGACUGGGACUGAGACACGGCCCAGACUCCUACGGGAGGCAGCAGUCGGGAAUUUUGCGCAAUGGACGAAAGUCUGACGCAGCAACGCCGCGUGAGGGAUGAAGGCCUCGGGUUGUAAACCUCUUUUUCCAGGGAAGAUAAUGACGGUACCUGGCGAAUAAGUCACGGCUAACUACGUGCCAGCAGCCGC